rnacentral:rRNA from 1 species
UGCCUGGCGGCAGUAGCGCGGUGGUCCCACCUGACCCCAUGCCGAACUCAGAAGUGAAACGCCGUAGCGCCGAUGGUAGUGUGGGGUCUCCCCAUGCGAGAGUAGGGAACUGCCAGGCU